rnacentral:rRNA from 1 species
CUGGCGGCAGGCCUAACACAUGCAAGUCGAGCGCUCACUUCGGUGGGAGCGGCGGACGGGUUAGUAACGCGUGGGAAUAUGCCCGGUACUAAGGAAUAGCCUUUGGAAACGAAGAGUAAUACCUUAUACGCCCUUCGGGGGAAAGAUUUAUCGGUAUCGGAUUAGCCCGCGUAAGAUUGGAUAGUUGGUGGGGUAAUGGCCUACCAAGUCUACGAUCUUUAGCUGGUUUUAGAGGAUGAUCAGCAACACUGGGACUGAGACACGGCCCAGACUCCUACGGGAGGCAGCAGUGGGGAAUCUUAGACAAUGGGCGCAAGCCUGAUCUAGCCAUGCCGCGUGAGUGAAGAAGGCCUUAGGGUCGUAAAACUCUUUCGCCAGAGAUGAUAAUGACAGUAUCUGGUAAAGAAACCCCGGCUAACUCCGUGCCAGCAGCCGCGGUAAUACGGAGGGGGUUAGCGUUGUUCGGAAUUACUGGGCGUAAAGCGCACGUAGGCGGACUGGAAAGUUGGGGGUGAAAUCCCGGGGCUCAACCUCGGAACUGCCUCCAAAACUAUCAGUCUAGAGUUCGAGAGAGGUGAGUGGAAUUCCAAGUGUAGAGGUGAAAUUCGUAGAUAUUUGGAGGAACACCAGUGGCGAAGGCGGCUCACUGGCUCGAUACUGACGCUGAGGUGCGAAAGUGUGGGGAGCAAACAGGAUUAGAUACCCUGGUAGUCCACACCGUAAACGAUGAAUGCCAGUCGUC